AUGGGGGAACGGGUUUGCCUUGUUCCUUACUUACUAAGGGGACUCGGAUUUCCAAUCCAUCUGUUCCUCCGCGGGGUCCUGGAGUUCUAUGGCCUCCAACUGCACAAUCUCACCCCUGCCUCCAUCCUCCACAUCACCGACUAUGUUGCUCUCUGCGAGUUGUUCCUGGGCUGCGAGGCUCACUUCAAGCUGUGGAAAAGGCUAUUCUGCCUUGUCCCUCGCACACAGAGGGAAUCACUUUAUCAAGUGGGCGGAGCCGAAAUAUGGCGCAUCGACGAUAUCGGAUACAUGUCUGGUACCCCGAAGAAGCCGUCCUAA
rnacentral:rRNA from 1 species